rnacentral:rRNA from 1 species
AGGAGCCGCGGUAAUUCCAGCUCCAAUAGCGUAUAUUAAAGUUGUUGCAGUUAAAAAGCUCGUAGUUGAAUUUCGGGAUUAGUACGUUGGUCGUGCCUUCGGUACGUACUGGUGUUACUGAUUCCUACCUUCUGACGAACCAUCAUGUCAUUAAUUUGGUGUGGCGGGGAAUCAGGACUGUUACUUUGAAAAAAUUAGAGUGUUUAAAGCGGGCUCGCGCUUGAAUACAUUAGCAUGGAAUAAUGAAAUAGGACGUUGACCCUAUUUUGUUGGUUUCUAGGAUUGACGUAAUGAUUAAUAGGGAUAGUUGGGGGCAUUAGUAUUCAAUUGUCAGAGGUGAAAUUCUUGGAUUUAUUGAAGACUAACUACUGCGAAAGCAUUUGCCAAGGAUGUUUUCAUUAAUCAAGAACGAAAGUUAGGGGAUCGAAGACGAUCAGAUACCGUCGUAGUCUUAACCAUAAACUAUGCCGACUAGGAAUCGGGCGACGUUAUUUUCAUGACUCG